UCCGAAGCCCAGGUCCGCUCGGGUGAGUGCGCUGCGGUAUUUGUGGCCAAACCAUGCCAUGCAGGCCCCUUCCCGCGCCGUCCUCCGCUCUCGGGGUCCGCGGGUAUCCGCGGACGUCACAAGCUCGGCAACCGCCCCCCCGUCGGCGGGGAGCCCCGCGGCGCCCUGAAAUGCUCCGAAGCCUGUCGCUCAGCUGCGAGAUCUGCGUCCUUGUCUGGCUCCGUCACUGAGGUCGUCCCCGUCCGGCCCUUCCACCCUAGUUCUCUUCACCGUCAGCGCAUCCUGUCCGCGCGGCGUCAGGUCCCAUUCGGCACGUGGCUUGUCUCCCGUCGUCCCCAGACUCGCCCCUCUCGGCCCCUCAGGGCAGGCCUGGGAUUCGGCAGACGCCGGUCCUCCCUGAGGUAACUCCCCCUCCUCCCCUCGGCCAGGCCCUCCGUCUCCGCAGACCCCUGGCUUUGGGGUCACCGCCUCAGACAGGACCCUCAGUCCGGGGCUGGGCGAGGGGACCUGCCCAACCCUGUAACACCCCGUGUCCUGCACAGUCACCUCCCACUGGCAGUGACUGUCGGGUGUUUACCUUUCCGAUGUCCCACUUAGAAGUGGGCUGUUCCUUGGCAUGGGCUUCUUUGCAUCGCUGAGGGUGUCGAGAUGGGCAGGGGAGUGAGGAGAAAACAGCAGAGAGAGGUAGGGCCGGCGAGGAAGAAAGGGGGAAGGAAAUUUAGAAGAUGGGAAGUGGAUGGGUCUGAAAAAUUUAGACAAACUGAGAAUGAAGGAGAGUGACCUGAGCAAGAAGUAGCGAGGUGAAUGGAAAUAGUCAAGACGGGAAUCAGCAGAGAUGUGAAGGAGGGCAGGAAACAAUGAGAAGGCCUUGACCAUCACUAGCAGAGGGGGCAGCAGAAGCCUAAUUCCCAAAUUCCUUAGAUGGUUUUCUGAUUUCCAAAUUACUUUCCCUUUUAAAUUUAUUGUCAGGUUAAGAUUAAGAGACCUCAAUACUUUUCAGUCUUAAUUAUAUAUUGAAAAUACUUUUUGUUGUUUAAUAAAUACUUUUACACUAAUUCAGUGUGCACUUCGUAAGGAUAUUGAUGAUUUGAGUUAGUUUAAUAUUCAACAGCUUCCUCCCUUCCUUUGUAUGAUCUUUGUAUUUAAUGGCUGUGGGAUAAAGUUCCCAACUAAGUAUAAGUAUCAAGUUUUCUUUGUGCCAUUUUCUGCAAAUAUUGCAGGUUGGGCUAGAUUGUCCUAGAACUUUGUUCCAACAGAUUCCAUCUGUUCAUAAUGAAUACAUUGCUCAAAGGUAUUUCCAAAGCUGAACUUUUUAUAUUUUUCUGUUCCAACAAUUAGAUAUUUUCAAUUUUUAUGUUUUUGGAUGACUUAAUGUGAUGUUCUGGAAAAGACAAAUACUUUUAAUCAAUAUGAUUAAAACCAUGAAAGACAAAUUGCUCUUACUUAAGUGUGUGAAAUAUGAUCUGAAAUCAUUAGGGGAGCAGGGAUGAUAAGGGAAAACUCCCACUAUCGCAUCCAAAUUAUGUCAUUCCUGUUUACUCUGAUGCUGUUUACUCUCUCCUGACUUCUGUUCACCUUUCCACUUGCCCCACGACAAGACUUUAAAGUAAGCACAGAACAUAGCUAUCUUUCUAAUGAGGAGGAGGUGUUGGUUCUGGGAAGGAAGCUUGAAGGAGAAAGGGCAGUGGGAUUUGGGUAUUUAAGAUCCAGAAAUGAGAGAAAGCCUGGGAAGCUCAGGAACCAGAGAAAGAAAAAGCCUUGCCUGUUCUCACCCAUGACCCUGUGCUCAGCAGGUACUAGCAAAGACUUCAGGCUCUAUGACUAAAAGGGGUGGAACCAGUUUGUGUACCCACAGCUGCCAUGUAAGGGUGUUUGUGGACUUCACUAGGGAAGAAGGGUGUUAUGAAGGAAGGGUCAGAAGAACUCACCUGUUGGUCUCCGUGUAGAAGUUUAUUGUCCUGAAUUCCUGGAGGUUCAGUGAAAAGCAGAAAAUUGUCUUUUUAACAUGUUGAGUUCUGCCCCCAUAUAUGUGAUUGUGGGAAAAGACAAGGGUAUGUUGCUUGGAAGUCCUGAAAUGCAUGUUCCUAAUACUCACCAGUGACUUCUCAAGACGGAUCUUACCUAAGAAAGAAGCUCGGAGAAGAAAAGUGGAAAACGAUUAGAAAUGGCACUUUCACUGGAAAAAGUCAUGUUAUUCAUUGAUUGUUCUGUCAUCUUCCUCCUUAAAUGCUGUUUUUAGGAUGUGCUAAUCUCUGACCCUGCCUAACACAUUUCCUAACUCACCCACAGCCUUCCCUUAAUCCCCUCCAAUCUUCACACUAUCACACUGUAACCCAGUGAAUUCGAACUUGUGAAGUUACAUUUGGGGGAUCAUAUGGGAAGGGCUUCACACCCAGACAUAGAUUACAGAUGGGAAGUAGGCCCAUGGUGUCAGUGAGGCCAGUAUGGAUCGUUUAGGGAUGAUGCACUAUCAGAUGUUUGUGAACUAUGAUUAGAGAAACUGUGCAUAUUAGUAGUGAAUUAAUAUCAGGAAUAUCUGACAAAUCCUGGAAAAGAAGAUUGAUAAGAGGAAACUUGUUCUGCCUGAUUGUAUAAUGCAUUGGAAGCCUAAAACAAUGAAUCAGUCUGGAUCUGGCCUCAAAAUAUUGAUAAUUUGGAUUAUAAGGGAGAGUUUAGAAAAUGAUAGCUAUGACAAAUUCAGGUGACAUUUCAUCCACACGAUGGAGUGUGUUUUAUUCAGUAAUUGUUUCUUAAAAAUGGAAUCAACCUAAGUGUCUAACAGUAGGGAGUUUUGGGAAUUGUUAACAGCACAUCUGUUCCAAGGAGACCUUGAUGUUCACAGAUUUGUAAAGAAUGCUUUCUAGCACACUGACUUCUCUGCAAAUGUCUGAGGGUUCCUCCACCUUGGGUAAGUUGGUGGUUUGAUCGCAGGGCAUAUAAAUGGUGCAUUUUGUAUUGUAAUAUAUUCUAGCAAGAUGCAGCCCACAAACUGUAUAAAUAUUCUUACCUACCACUAGCACAUAAAGUUCAUCUACUACUUUAACCAGAGCUUGAUACUUUACGUAUGCUUUUGUGGAUUUGGAUAAAACAACAACUCAUUUUAUUUCCAAUUCACAAAGUAAUUGUGAGGCUGAAUAAAUUUUAUGGUAGACAUAUAUGUAAAAUGGAUUUUUUACGUGACUCAUUUUUGAUGUAUAGUAGAGGCUAUUUUCCAUUCUAUGUUCUCUCUCUCUCUCUCUCUCUCUCUCUCUCUCACUCACUCUCACUUUGGUGUCUUAUAAUGUUUCUGCAGUAAAA